rnacentral:rRNA from 1 species
UACAGAGGUCUCAAGCGUUGUUCGGAUUCAUUGGGCGUAAAGGGUGCGUAGGCGGCGCGGUAAGUCGGGUGUGAAAUCUUGGAGCUUAACUCCGAAACUGCAUUCGAUACUGCCGUGGCUUGAGGACUGGAGAGGAGACUGGAAUUUACGGUGUAGCGGUGAAAUGCGUAGAUAUCGUAAGGAAGACCAGUGGCGAAGGCGGGUCUCUGGACAGUUCCAUGACGCUGGAAGCACGAAGGCCCGGGGAGCAAACGGG